UACAGAGGUCCCAAGCGUUGUUCGGAUUCACUGGGCGUAAAGGGUGCGUAGGUGGUGAGGUAAGUCGGAUGUGAAAUCUCCGAGCUCAACUCGGAAAUGGCAUUGGAAACUACCUUGCUCGAGGGUUGGAGGGGGGACUGGAAUGCUUGGUGUAGCAGUGAAAUGCGUAGAUGUCAAGCGGAACACCAGUGGCGAAGGCGAGUCCCUGGACAACUCCUGACACUGAGGCACGAAAGCUAGGGGAGCAAACAGG
rnacentral:rRNA from 1 species